CCCUUGGCAGGGAGGGUGGGCUUAGAGGUCCCAGCAGCAGCGCGCUCUGCCCCCGCCCGCAGUCCAGACUGAGGAGCUGCACUGCCUCAGGGGUGAGCUGAGCCACAUCAAGGCCCAGGUGGACCGCCUGCUGGAGCACGUGGAGCUCAUGGAGCAGCAGAGGGACCAGCUUCCAGGGACAGAGGACUGUGAACAGAACAGGGGCUCUGGGAGUCAGGGGUCCUUAUGCAGAACCACUGAACCCAGGCAGGAGCCCAGAGGCCCGAGGGCCCGUCCGGAGGCGGAAGGCUCCCAGGAGCACACAGACCCGGAGGCCCUGGUCAAGAAUCAGGCGUCAGACCAGGGCUGUCAGUAGCAGGCUGGAACCCCUCCAGGCUCAUCAGCUCCAGGCACCGUCCUUGCCUUGAGUGUUUUCUCG
rnacentral:lncRNA from 1 species